rnacentral:rRNA from 2 species
GAUGAACGCUGGCGGCGCGCCUAACACAUGCAAGUCGAACGGUUAAAGCAUCUUCGGAUGUGUAUAAAGUGGCGAACGGCUGAGUAACACGCGGGCAACCUGCCCUUUGCACUGGGAUAGCCUCGGGAAACCGAGGUUAAUACCGGAUACUCCAUAUUUGUCGCAUGGCGAAUAUGGGAAAGCUCCGGCGGCAAAGGAUGGGCCCGCGGCCUGUUAGCUAGUUGGUGGGGUAGUGGCCUACCAAGGCAAUGAUGGGUAGCCGGGUUGAGAGACCGACCGGCCAGAUUGGGACUGAGACACGGCCCAGACUCCUACGGGAGGCAGCAGUGGGGAAUCUUGCACAAUGGGCGAAAGCCUGAUGCAGCGACGCCGCGUGCGGGAUGAAGGCCUUCGGGUUGUAAACCGCUUUCAGCAGGGACGAGGCCGCAAGGUGACGGUACCUGCAGAAGAAGCCC